rnacentral:misc_RNA from 1 species
GAUGAAGAACGCAGUGAAAUGCGAUAAGUAAUGUGAAUUGCAGAAUUCAGUGAAUCAUCGAAUCUUUGAACGCACAUUGCGCCCCCUGGUAUUCCGGGGGGCAUGCCUGUCCGAGCGUCAUUGCUGCCCUCAAGCACGGCUUGUGUGUUGGGCUUCCGUCCCUGGCAACGGGGACGGGCCCAAAAGGCAGUGGCGGCACCAUGUCUGGUCCUCGAGCGUAUGGGGCUUUGUCACCCGCUCCCGUAGGUCCAGCUGGCAGCUAGCCUCGCAACCAAUCUUUUUAACCAGGUUGACCUCGGAUCAGGUAGGGAUACCCGCUGAACUUAAGCAUAUCAAUAAGCGGAGGA